rfam:Homo sapiens chromosome 5, GRCh38 reference primary assembly.
ACUGGGCAUGGUGGUGCAUGCCUGUAGUCCCAGCUACUUGGGAGGCUGAGGCAGGAAGAUUGCUUGAGCCAAGGAGUUUGAGGCUGCAGUGAGCCAUGAUUGUGCCACUGCAGCCCAGCCUGAGUGACAGAGUGAGACCCUGCCUCAA